UGCUAAGGAUUUAAGUU
rnacentral:tRNA from 1 species